CACUUGUCACACCAUCGGGCUCUUAAACUCUAAAGAUGCAUGUCAGACUUGCCAUGAGUUCGCUCCUAGGCAUAGCGAACUAUCUAUAGAUGUACGAGUUGCAAAAAGCGCCUAGAAUUCGAUAUGAAUGGUGAAGCGAAGUAUAGAGGGAACACUUUUUUCUCUGAAGAUGACUAUGUGUAUUAAGGCUGUUCUGCGGAUCAUACAACUUGUCGUACAACAGGCGAUAUGGGCACAAAUUAGACUGCGCUUUGCAGUUUUAUCGUGAUCAGACUGGCUCUGAUAAGAAAGAAAUAUUUGGAGCUGCUUUACCUGCGCUUUUGGAUGAACUCAUC